rnacentral:tRNA from 1 species
GGGGCAUUAGCUCAGCUGGGAGAGCACUUGCAUGGCAUGCAAGGGGUCAUCGGUUCAAGUCCGAUAUGCUCCA